rnacentral:rRNA from 1 species
CGGGUGAGUAACGCGUGGAUAACCUGCCUCACACUGGGGGAUAACAGUUAGAAAUGGCUGCUAAUACCGCAUAAGCGCACAGUAUCGCAUGGUACGGUGUGAAAAACCCAGGUGGUGUGAGAUGGAUCCGCGUCUGAUUAGCCAGUUGGCGGGGUAACGGCCCACCAAAGCGACGAUCAGUAGCCGACCUGAGAGGGUGACCGGCCACAUUGGGACUGAGACACGGCCCAA